rnacentral:lncRNA from 1 species
UUAUGCUCCUAUCAAUCAGUGUUGGUUCUGUUUUCUACAGCUCUGGAACCUAGAUGUUUGCCUGUUCUAUUUGUCUGAGUGGGAGGACCUUCUUUUGCAAACACACCCAAGGAUACUUCAUUGAUCCACCUCAGGGACUGUCUUCUUUGCUACAGAGUUGUGCCUUUUGGCUCCCAGUCUUCCUGGCUCUUCCUCGUCUUAUUUCUCUCACUUCUCCAGGCUCAGCCUGAUUAUUGUUCCAAAGUGUUCUACUGGGCUUCCUGUGCAUACCAGCAGAAGUCACGAAGGCUUUUGGACAUAGGACUUUGAUGCCUUUCCUUCCCCUCCUGGUCAUUCUCACUUUUAUAGGAGAGAAGAGAUUGAAUUGUAAUGGCUGGAACCCCAUGGAGGAGAGGAGCAUACACACUCAUCAGAACACAGAUCCUCCAGGGCUGCAGCCUGGUGUGCCACUGCUGAUGGGUCUUUGGGGACAAGUUGUCUGGGAUAGGUUACCAGGUCUACCUUGCUGUCCAGUUGACUAAAGUUACUUGAACACCAUAGGCCUCAAUUUCUUUAUUUGUAAAUACAAAGAAUAAUAAACACCUUCAGUCUUUUCAUGA